AAAAAAAAAAAAAAACGGCCGAGGGGCAAAAUUAACAUUUUACCCCUCAACCCAUUAUAGGGGUGUUGAAGGUCCUUCCUGCAAAAGAAUAGUGUGAGAGAGAAGGAUUGAGAGAGAAAACUGCUGGAGUUUUUCAUGGGAGAGUCGCCGACGGAAUCCAUCUCUACUAAGACCUGCUCUCUGGAGUUCGGAGUGAAGUAAGAACUGGUGUUUGAGGUUUCCUCCUCUUUCGUCAAGAUCAGAAAGAAAACCUGCAAGGUACAUGAGGCGUCGAGUCAAGAGAGGGCGCGUUGAUCGAUGUGGGUUGUCAUAGAGGAAGCGUGUCCCGGGGCAUCUGUCUAGUUUACUGAAUAGUACACUUUGUCUCUAAUGUUUCUUUUCUUGUUUUUACCUGGACACUUAUGUCCUUUUAGUAAAGAUACGUUUUUCUUACAAAAUGAAUGAAAUUCUUUUGAAAUAAA